UACGUAGGGUGCGAGCGUUAAUCGGAAUUACUGGGCGUAAAGCGUGCGCAGGCGGUUUUGUAAGCCAGAUGUGAAAUCCCCGGGCUCAACCUGGGAAUGGCAUUUGGGACUGCAAGGCUGGAGUGCGGCAGAGGGGACUGGAAUUCCUGGUGUAGCAGUGAAAUGCGUAGAGAUCAGGAGGAAUACCGAUGGCGAAGGCAGGUCCCUGGGUUGACACUGACGCUCAUGCACGAAAGCGUGGGGAGCAAACAGG
rnacentral:rRNA from 1 species